rnacentral:rRNA from 1 species
UACGUAGGGGGCAAGCGUUGUCCGGAUUUAUUGGGCGUAAAGCGCUCGCAGGUGGUUCGUUGCGUCGUGCGUGAAAGACCCCGGCUCAACUGGGGAGGGUCGUGCGAUACGGGCGAACUGGAGGCCAGUAGGGGGAUGCGGAAUUCCCGGUGUAGUGGUGAAAUGCGUAGAGAUCGGGAGGAACACCAGUAGCGAAGGCGGCCGGCUGGGCCGACCCUGACGCUGAGGCGCGAAGGCGUGGGGAGCGAACGGG